CAUGGAGCUCUGGAAGCUGGGCUGGGGGAGGAAGCCUGGUGGCUCUGACGUCCCCUGGAGGCGAAGGAGGCCCAGCCAUGACACUCUUAACGGAUGCCAUGCCCCUGGUGAAGGAGCCCCAUCCCCUGCCUCUGGUCCCACGUCCCUGGUUCCUCCCUAGCCUCUUUGCUGCCUUCAAUGUGGUGCUGCUGGUCUUUUUCAGUGGCCUCUUCUUCGCAUUCCCUUGCAGGUGGCUGGCUCAGAACGGGGAGUGGGCCUUUCCUGUUAUCACAGCCUCCCUCUUUGUCCUUACCUUCUUCAGUCUUGUUUCACUCAACUUCUCAGACCCUGGCAUCUUACAUCAAGGCUCCGCUGAGCAGGGCCCCUUGACGGUGCACGUGGUGUGGGUGAACCACGGGGCCUUCCGCCUGCAGUGGUGUCCAAAGUGCUGCUUCCACCGCCCGCCCCGGACUUACCACUGCCCCUGGUGCAACAUCUGUGUGGAGAGUUACAGUAGGAUGUGUCUCACAGAGGCCAGGCCAGUCUUCUCUCUAAAGGUCUUCUGACAGGACUUUGACCACCACUGCAAGUGGGUCAAUAACUGCAUCGGUCACCGCAACUUCCGCUUCUUCAUGCUGCUCGUCCUGUCCCUGUGCCUCUACUCGGGCGCCAUGCUGGUCACCUGUCUCAUCUUCCUGGUGCGCACAACCCACCUGCCCU
rnacentral:sRNA from 1 species